rnacentral:rRNA from 1 species
CAGCAGCCGCGGGAAUACGUAGGUGGCAAGCGUUGUCCGGAAUUAUUGGGCGUAAAGCGCGCGCAGGUGGUUUAAUAAGUCUGAUGUGAAAGCCCACGGCUCAACCGUGGAGGGUCAUUGGAAACUGUUAAACUUGAGUGCAGGAGAGAAAAGUGGUAUUCCUAGUGUAGCGGUGAAAUGCGUAGAGAUUAGGAGGAACACCAGUGGCGAAGGCGGCUUUUUGGCCUGUAACUGACACUGAGGCGCGAAAGCGUGGGGAGCAAACAGGAUUAGAGACCCGCGUAGUCCCUGUCUCUUAUAC